ACAACGGAGAGUUUGAUCCUGGCUCAGGAUGAACGCUGGCGGCGUGCUUAACACAUGCAAGUCGAACGAACCUUCGGGUUAGUGGCGGACGGGUGAGUAACGCGUGGGAAUCUGCCCUCAGGAGGGGGAUAACG
rnacentral:rRNA from 1 species